ACCCGCUGAACUUAAGCAUAUCAGUAAGCGGAGGAAAAGAAACUAACUAGGAUUCCCCGAGUAGCGGCGAGCGAAAGGGGAGAAGCCCAGCGCCGAAGCCCGCGGCCCCCGGUCGCAGUGCAAUGUGGCGUUUCGGCGGCGUCUCGCCUCGACUUCCCUGGCACGAGUAUCUCUGAAUGGGUCUGUCCGCAGCGGGUGUCAGGCCUCUACUUGCCAAACGGGUCGUCGGGGCACGGCGUCGUCGCGGAGUCGGGUUGCUUGAGAGUGCAGCCCAAAGUGGGUGGUAAGCUCCAUCUAAGGCUAAAUACCUAGUGCGAGACCGAUAGCAAACAAGUACCGUGAGGGAAAGUUGCAAAGAACUUUGAAAAGAGAGUUCAAGAGUACGUGAAACCGUUCAGAGGCAAACGGACGGAACUGGGCGAGUUCGUCGCCGCCAUUCAGCCGUCGCUCCGUCAAACGGGCGGCGGUGCACUUGGCGGCGGCGGAGCGCGACGACCGUCUGUCGGGUCGUCAGAAGCCCGGCGGCAAGGUGGCGACGCGCUCGCGCGUCGUGUUAGAGGCCGCCGCGGCGUUGGCUGACCUGGCGGGCGAGGAGCGCCUGCGGUGCACUCCCCUCGCGGGAGUGGCUCGCGCGGUGGGCUUGCGGACGCCGGCGGCGAACUGCUCGCAGUUUGACGUCGCGCGCUCUGUCUGUCGUGCCGCGCGACGCCACGUGGCACCCGGGGUCCGGGUCGUGUGGUUCCUGGCACUCCGUCCGACCCGUCUUGAAACACGGACCAAGGAGUUGAGCACGCGCGCGAGUCGAUGGGCAUGACGAACCCCAGUGGCGCAGCUAAGGCAAAACGGGCGUGAUCCGGCACUGGCGUGUCGGCGCAACGCCGGCCCGCAGCCGACUCGAUGCGAGUGGCUGCGGCGCAAGAGCGUGCGUGCUCAGACCCGAAAGGUGGUGAACUAUGCUUGAGCAGGGCGAAGCCAGAGGAAACUCUGGUGGAGGCUCGCAGCGAUCCUGACGUGCAAAUCGGUCGUCAAACUUGAGCAUAGGGGCGAAAGACUAAUCGAACCGCCUAGUAGCUGGUUCCCUCCGAAGUUUCCCUCAGGAUAGCUGGCACUCGGGAUAAAUGGUUUUAUCCGGUAAAGCGAAUGAUUAGAGGCAUUGGGGACGAAACGUCCUCAACCUAUUCUCAAACUUUAAAUGGGUAAGAGGCGCGACCCUUCCUGAUCGGGGUCGCGUGCUCGAACAGAGAGUGCCCAGUGGGCCGUUUUUGGUAAGCAGAACUGGCGCUGUGGGAUGAACCAAACGCGCGGUUAGGGUGCCUAACGCACGCUCAUGAGAUACCACAAAAGGUGUUGGUUGAUAUAGACAGCAGGACGGUGGCCAUGGAAGUCGGAAUCCGCUAAGGAGUGUGUAACAACUCACCUGCCGAAUCAACUAGCCCUGAAAAUGGAUGGCGCUGGAGCGUGCGACCCAUACCGCGCCGUCGGGGCAAUGCGUGCGAAAUGCCAGGCCCCGACGAGUAGGAGGGCGUGUCGGUGGCGCUGAAGCGUAGUGCGCGAGCACGCGUGGAGCCGCCUUCAGUGCAGAUCUUGGUGGUAGUAGCAAGUAUACAAAUGAGAACUUUGUAGACCGAAGUGGAGAAGGGUUCCAUGUGAACAGCAGUUGGACAUGGGUCAGUCGGCCCUAAGAGAUCGGAGAAUUCCGUUCUGAACGGGGAAGGACGAGUGGUGCCGUCUGAACGAGCUUCCUCGAGAGCGCGCGAGAGAGAGUGUGAGAGGUGCAAGAAAGUGCAGGAAAGCGGUACUGGCCAGAUCGCCCCCCGAUGCGAUCGAAAGGGAAUCGGGUUAAUAUUCCCGAACCUGGCAGUGGAGAUUGGGCCCUCGGGCCCCAGUGCGGUAACGCAACCGAACUCGGAGACGCCAGCGUCGAUCCCGGGAAGAGUUCUCUUUUCUUUGUUAGGAGCGGACUCCCUGGAAUUGGCUUGUCCAGAGAUAGGGACGUUGCAUCCGUAAAGCGUCGCGCCUCAUGCGGCGUCCGGUGCAUCGGCGUUGGCCCUUGAAAAUCCGAGGAAGGCAGUGUAAUUUUCACUCCAGGCCGUACCCGAAUCCGCAGCAGGUCUCCAAGGUGCACAGCCUCUGGUCGAUAGAACAAUGUAGGUAAGGGAAGUCGGCAAAUCCGAUCCGUAACUUCGGGAUAAGGAUUGGCUCUGAGGUGCGGGCUGCUUCGGGUCGCGGCAAGAAGCGGCGCGCGCGUUGGCUGGACUGGGCGCUCGGGCGACUGGGUGCUCGGACCGUAGCCAGCGUGCGUCCGUGGGAGGCCGUGGCUUUCGCCGGCGUCGGCCUCGUGUCGGCGUCGGCUUCGUUCGGCCUAAACGCACAGCACAGAACUGGCACGGACUCUGGGAACACGACUGUCUAAUUAAAACAAAGCAUCGCGAUGGCCGCUGGUCGGUGUUGACGCGAUGUGAUUUCUGCCCAGUGCUUUGAAUGUCAAAGUGAAGAAAUUCAACCAAGCGCAGGUAAACGGCGGGAGUAACUAUGACUCUCUUAA
rnacentral:rRNA from 1 species